CCUACGGGUGGCAGCAGUGGGGAAUAUUGGGCAAUGGGCGCAAGCCUGACCCAGCAACGCCGCGUGAAGGAAGAAGGCUUUCGGGUUGUAAACUUCUUUUCUGAGGGACGAAGAAAGUGACGGUACCUCAGGAAUAAGCCACGGCUAACUACGUGCCAGGAGCCGCGGUAAUACGUAGGUGGCAAGCGUUAUCCGGAUUUAUUGGGUGUAAAGGGCGUGUAGGCGGGAAAGCAAGUCAGAUGUGAAAACUCAGGGCUCAACCCUGAGCCUGCAUUUGAAACUGUUUUUCUUGAGUGCUGGAGAGGCAAUCGGAAUUCGGGGUGUAGCGGUGAAAUGCGUAGAUAUACGGAGGAACACCAGUGGCGAAGGCGGCUUGCUGGGUGGAUACUGACAUUGAGGCACGAAAGCGUGGGGAGCAAACAGGAUUAGAUACCCCAGUAGUC
rnacentral:rRNA from 1 species